UAGUCCACGCCGUAAACGAUGAUAACUAGCUGCUAGGGCCCACAGGGCUUUGGUGGCGCAGCUAACGCAUUAAGUUAUCCGCCUGGGGAGUACGGUCGCAAGAUUAAAACUCAAAGGAAUUGACGGGGGCCUGCACAAGCGGUGGAGCAUGUGGUUUAAUUCGAUGCAACGCGAAGAACCUUACCUACCCUUGAAAUCCUCGAAAUCUUCUAGAGAUAGAAGAGUGCCUUCGGGAAUCGAGUGACAGGUGCUGCAUGGCUGUCGUCAGCUCGUGUCGUGAGAUGUUGGGUUAAGUCCCGUAACGAGCGCAACCCUUAUCCUUAGUUGCCAGCACAUCAUGGUGGGAACUCUAAGGAAACUGCCGGUGACAAACCGGAGGAAGGUGAGGACGACGUCAAGUCAUCAUGGCCCUUACGGGUAGGGCUACACACGUGCUACAAUGGGCAAUACAAAGGGCAGCGAAACCGCGAGGUCAAGCGAAUCCCAUAAAAUUGCUCUCAGUCCGGA
rnacentral:rRNA from 1 species